GCCUACAUUGUCAGAUUGUUUAGCGCAUGACAGACAUAUUGGGAGUUUCUGAGGCCUCCUCCUUGGUUGGGUCCUAGCAGAAACAUGUCAGCAUUUGAGAUAAGUUUUUUUAUCCAAUUGAACAAAAAUAAAUCAAUUAAGUGUCCAAUUGAUCAUUUGAGCUAAGUAUAGAGUUCUCCAAAUAAAUUUGGCUUCAUUUUUUACUUUUGAUAUUGAUUUGG
rnacentral:misc_RNA from 1 species